GACGAACGCUGGCGGCGUGGAUUAGGCAUGCAAGUCGAACGGUAUCAUCCUUUCGGGGGUGAGAGAGUGGCGAACUGGUGAGUAACACGUAGGUUAUCUACCCUCAAGACGGGGACAACCCAGGGAAACUUGGGCUAAUACCGGAUGUGAGCAACUUUUAGUUGUUUGAAAGGUGGCGUAAGCUGUCGCUUGGGGAUGAGCCUGCGUCCUAUUAGUUAGUUGGUGAGGUAACGGCUCACCUAGGCAAUGAUAGGUAGGCGGCCUUAACGGGUGGUCGCCCACACUGGGAUUGAGAUACGGCCCAGACUCCUACGGGAGCAGCAGUCGAGAAUAGUCUACAAUGGUCGGAAGACUGAUAGUGCGACGCCGCGUGAACGAUGAAUCCCUUCGGGGGUGUAAAAGUUCUUUUAUAUGUGAGCAGUGCUUCUUAUAUUAACAGUAUGGGGAAGAGAUAUUAGCAUAUGAAUAAGCAACGGUAACUCCGUGCCAGCCAGCCGCGGUAAAUA
rnacentral:rRNA from 1 species